UGUCGCUAUAGCUCAGCAGGAUAGAGCGACCGCCUCCUAAGCGGUAGGCCGGAGGUUCGAAUCCUCUUAGCGACGUC
rnacentral:tRNA from 1 species